rnacentral:tRNA from 1 species
CAGGGAGACAACAAAAUGUUUAAUAUUAUUAUUUUGUCACCUUAGGUCGAUCGGUAUCUCACGUUUUUAAUUUAUUAAGAAUUUCAUUUCCUAAGUUUUUCUAGGUCACACCCAUUAUUUUUCCUGGGCCAUUAGCUCAGGUGGUUAGAGCGCACCCCUGAUAAGGGUGAGGUCCCUGGUUCAAGUCCAGGAUGGCCCAUAUCUCUAUGUUGGGGGUAUAGCUCAGUUGGUAGAGCGCCUGCUUUGCAAGCAUGAUGUCAGCGGUUCGAGUCCGCUUACCUCCACUGAUUACCACCUCUUCCAUAACCGGUAGAAAGGAAAUGUUUUGAGUUGUGAUCAGAUUCUGAAAGAAUCUAGCUUCCUAAUGAAAUCAUUAAGAUGCUGGACUCAUUGAAUUAAUUUCAUUGUUUUCAGAGAACCUUGACAACUGCAUAGAUUAUUUUUAAAGACAAUAAGCAUCUUUAAUGAUGCAGAUUUAUUAUUUGUGCGAAUGCAUUAAUAACAAUUCUAUUAAGCUGAUGCUUCAAUUUUUGAAGUUAUU